rnacentral:rRNA from 1 species
UACGGAGGGGGCUAGCGUUGUUCGGAAUUACUGGGCGUAAAGCGCACGUAGGCGGCUUUGUAAGUUAGAGGUGAAAGCCCGGGGCUCAACUGCGGAAUUGCCUUUAAGACUGCAUCGCUAGAAUUGUGGAGAGGUAAGUGGAAUUCCGAGUGUAGAGGUGAAAUUCGUAGAUAUUCGGAAGAACACCAGUGGCGAAGGCGACUUACUGGACACAUAUUGACGCUGAGGUGCGAAAGCGUGGGGAGCAAACAGG